UGGUCGUUAGCUUUUUGAGGAGUCACGUUCAGUCAUAUAUACAUAUUGGCUCUUCACUACAUCAUUUGCUCACUUUUUGUUCAGGAUUUUCUCUAUGAUUUCCCGUUCUUGUAUUAUUGGGACUACAUUUUAGUUCGGUAUGUGUUAUGUAAACUUGAUUUUAGAUAUGGAUAUGUG